UUAAUCUGCAUAUUGAUUUAGCACAUGUUUUUGACUGGAUGCCUUUUUGUCCUGCAACUCCAGAUCGAGAAAGAAGCAAAUGCUGGGUGAAAGAACUGUGCCGAUCAAAUGCCUUCUGCAGGUUUCCUAGCAACAGCAAACAAAGGCAGGACCCAUCUCAAGUUUCCCGUGGAGCGGCCAGUCCGGCGUGCCUUUGAUCUUGACUGGGAAAAUAGCUGAGUGGGCACUACUCACAUUUGUCUUUCAUUUACUCCACCCCCGGAAAAAAAGAAAAAAAAGCUCCCACAAACGGCCAAAUCUUCAUCUGUCCCCAGCAACCAAUACCUUGCCUGGAUAAUCAACCAAAGAAAGACAGUGAAGAACUGUAAAGCUGAGUUGAAAUUGGACGUUUUUGUUUAGGUGAAAAUUGCUACCUUCAUUAGGCCAGUCAUAUGUAGUUUUUGAAGUCUACAUACUAAAAUUGGGCUGUUCAC